UCCCGGGUGUAUAGCUGACCUUCUUCUCGUUCUUGGAAAAUGGUCAUCAUUCUCUCUUCGAAGACGACGACGCUGCCCUCCGUGCCCGAGACUCCAGCCACAGUUAUUGCCGGAAUCUUCUCUCCCACAUUUCCUUCGAGUGUCCAGCUGAGUAGCCUGUUGGCUGGAGACAGAAGAAGCCACAGCUGAGCCAGGACAGCAUUUCCCACGAGUUUCCCAGAGAACACAGGAGGGUAACCUUCAUGUGUUCUCGACACCCCUCCGCACCCCGAGACGAAGAGCCUUCACAGCGUCCUCGACAGGAGGGUCCUUGGAUCAACCCCUUCCUCCUGGUCUCCCUGAACCACCUAUUAUCCUGGAGAAAGGGGCAGGCUGGGCUGUACCAUCACAUCAGGGAACGGUCAUCGAUGAGCCUUCCUGCAGUGACUCCACUCAGGAGCCCCAGCCAGCCGGAAGCCACUGUCCAGGCCAACAGCCGAGCAGAUGAGGGGCAGGAACGGGCACAGGUGUGGACACGAGCGGGACUCUGGACAGCGCGCCUGGGUGUCAGCACGAGGGCCCCAGUGUGCGGCUCCUUCGGUGGCCUGGGCCCUGGAGCCAUUGGCCCAUCUCCCGCAGCUCCUGGGCAUCGGCUGGGUCUCCGGCACUGUUCAGGUCCCGGGGUACCUGAA